UAAACCUUACGCUUUUGAGGUUGAGUGCA
rnacentral:piRNA from 1 species